rnacentral:lncRNA from 1 species
CGCUGUGUGUGGAAGCUGGAAAUUGUGGUUGAAACCUUUAAGAGGUGAAUCAAUGUGGGAUAUAGAUGGUUUUUAUUAGGAGGUAGGUGAGGGGGUAAGGUGGCUUUCUCAUGUGAUAGCUUUUGAUGCCGGAGUAAAUGGCACAUUGAAAUCUCUUCUGUCCCACCGUGUCCAGUUUCUGCCGUGCACGGUUGCAGGAUGCUGCUGCGUUCUUCGGCCGAUGUCCAAACUUAUACAUUCUGGAACCUCAUCGUCUAUAUUUUGCCAACCGGGCGUGUAUGCUGCAUCACAAAUUAAAGAAACUGCACCUUGUUAGGAUAUUAAUGAGCCUUUUUGUCUCAGAGAUUAGCCUAUUAACCGCUAAAGUACUCUACUGUUUAGAUGCUGAAGAAGUGUAAGGACCAAUGCAGAUGUAUGUUUAGUUUCACAUUAGUUAUUUACUAGAUAAAUCUUGAAUAUUUAUAUAGAAUCAAAAAACUCAAAAUAAUAUUUUCUAACUAGCUAUUUUGGGUUAUUAUAAAUGGUAUCAAAGCGGAUUGAUGACUAAGUUUAGAAUAUUUGGCAGUAUGCAGUACGGGAAUAUGUAAAUGCUUAAUUUUUCCAUAUAUUUGGGAUAACAUUAACAGAUAAGCCAAGGUUCGUAUGAAUGCGGAGAAGGAAGCACUAAGGUCCACAUCUCUGAGAC